rnacentral:rRNA from 1 species
UUGGAUGGCAAGUCUGGUGCCAGCAGCCGCGGUAAUUCCAGCUCCAAUAGCGUAUAUUAAAGUUGUUGCAGUUAAAAAGCUCGUAGUUGAACUUCGGGGUCUACCCAUUGGUCAGGCUUAAUUGUCUGCACUGGUGAGAUGGAUCUCUACCUUCUGAGGAACUUUCAUGCCAUUUAUUUGGUGUGGUUGGAAAUCAGGACUGUUACUUUGAAAAAAUUAGAGUGUUUAAAGCAGACUAUCGUCUGAAUACAUUAGCAUGGAAUAAUGAAAUAGGACGGACUGAUACUAUUUCGUUGGCUUCUAGGAUCACCGUAAUGAUUAAUAGGGAUAGUUGGGGGCAUUAUUAUUCAAUUGUCAGAGGUGAAAUUCUUGGAUUUAUUGAAGACUAACUACUGCGAAAGCAUUUGCCAAGGAUGUUUUCAUUAAUCAAGAACGAAAGUUAGGGGAUCGAAGACGAUCAGAUACCGUCGUAGUCUUAACCAUAAACUAUGCCGACUAGGGAUCGGACGAAGUUAAUUUUAUAAUGACGCGUUCGGCACCUUACGGGAAACCAAAGUGUUUGGGUUC